rnacentral:miRNA from 1 species
ACCACCGAUCGUUGACUGUACC